rnacentral:lncRNA from 1 species
AUAACUGGGCAUAUCAGUUUAUGCUUAGAUAUAAAGAAACCAAAUAUAUAUUCUGUCUUAUUAUACGGAACCAAUUAUAUUUAAUCCAUGUUAAAAUGAUUAUGCAUUUAUCAUGUUGGAACUUCUUUGUCAAGCAGGUCUUCGCCAGCAUUGGGAAUUUGGGAUGGCAGUGCCACACAUUGAUGUAUGGAUACUUUCUGGUUGCUUUCCCCAUUGUACAUCAUUGUUCCCUUUUUAAGGAUCCAUUCACCUAGUUCCUGUUUUUAUGGCUUUUGUUCUGUUCGUUUACAGAUCAAGUCUGUCAUUGCCUUUACCAUGUUUCUUAAAGCCUUU